rnacentral:misc_RNA from 1 species
CGGUUUUGCGAGCGCAGCGCCUUCGGCGACAUCGAUCACGACGCCAUCCGUCGCGAGCGCGGCAUUCAGCGAAAUCAUCGCAUCCGACGCGACACUGGUUUGCAGCAGAUCGGCACGGACCUUGUUGCCGCCGUCUUCCAGAACUUCACGCAGCGUUCGCAGGUGGACACCCGCUUCCAACGCCGUCACGUCUGACAACUGCGGCGCGAACACGCCAUCCACCAGCACAAGCUUCUGGGUGCUGUCGAUGCCGAGCGACUUCACCGCCUUGGCCGCACGCGCGAG